UACGUAGGGGGCUAGCGUUGUCCGGAUUUAUUGGGCGUAAAGAGCGUGUAGGCGGCCAGGUAGGUCCGCUGUGAAAGUCCGAGGCUCAACCUCGGAAUGUCGGCGGAAACCCUCUGGCUAGAGUCCGGAAGAGGAGAGUGGAAUUCCCGGUGUAGCGGUGAAAUGCGCAGAUAUCGGGAAGAACACCCGUGGCGAAGGCGGCUCGCUGGAACGGUACUGACGCUGAGACGCGAAAGCGUGGGGAGCGAACAGG
rnacentral:rRNA from 1 species